GGGUUGUGAGGUUAAGCGACUAAGCGUACACGGUGGAUGCCCUGGCAGUCAGAGGCGAUGAAGGACGUGCUAAUCUGCGAUAAGCGUCGGUGAGGUGAUAUGAACCGUUAUAACCGGCGAUUUCCGAAUGGGGAAACCCAGUGUGUUUCGACACACUAUCAUUAACUGAAUCCAUAGGUUAAUGAGGCGAACCGGGGGAACUGAAACAUCUAAGUACCCCGAGGAAAAGAAAUCAACCGAGAUUCCCCCAGUAGCGGCGAGCGAACGGGGAGGAGCCCAGAGCCUGAAUCAGUGUGUGUGUUAGUGGAAGCGUCUGGAAAGGCGCGCGAUACAGGGUGACAGCCCCGUACACAAAAAUGCACAUAUUGUGAGCUCGAUGAGUAGGGCGGGACACGUGGUAUCCUGUCUGAAUAUGGGGGGACCAUCCUCCAAGGCUAAAUACUCCUGACUGACCGAUAGUGAACCAGUACCGUGAGGGAAAGGCGAAAAGAACCCCGGCGAGGGGAGUGAAAAAGAACCUGAAACCGUGUACGUACAAGCAGUGGGAGCCUCUUAAUGGGGUGACUGCGUACCUUUUGUAUAAUGGGUCAGCGACUUAUAUUCUGUAGCAAGGUUAACCGAAUAGGGGAGCCGAAGGGAAACCGAGUCUUAACUGGGCGUUAAGUUGCAGGGUAUAGACCCGAAACCCGGUGAUCUAGCCAUGGGCAGGUUGAAGGUUGGGUAACACUAACUGGAGGACCGAACCGACUAAUGUUGAAAAAUUAGCGGAUGACUUGUGGCUGGGGGUGAAAGGCCAAUCAAACCGGGAGAUAGCUGGUUCUCCCCGAAAGCUAUUUAGGUAGCGCCUCGUGAAUUCAUCUCCGGGGGUAGAGCACUGUUUCGGCAAGGGGGUCAUCCCGACUUACCAACCCGAUGCAAACUGCGAAUACCGGAGAAUGUUAUCACGGGAGACACACGGCGGGUGCUAACGUCCGUCGUGAAGAGGGAAACAACCCAGACCGCCAGCUAAGGUCCCAAAGUCAUGGUUAAGUGGGAAACGAUGUGGGAAGGCCCAGACAGCCAGGAUGUUGGCUUAGAAGCAGCCAUCAUUUAAAGAAAGCGUAAUAGCUCACUGGUCGAGUCGGCCUGCGCGGAAGAUGUAACGGGGCUAAACCAUGCACCGAAGCUGCGGCAGCGACACUAUGUGUUGUUGGGUAGGGGAGCGUUCUGUAAGCCUGUGAAGGUGGCCUGUGAGGGUUGCUGGAGGUAUCAGAAGUGCGAAUGCUGACAUAAGUAACGAUAAAGCGGGUGAAAAGCCCGCUCGCCGGAAGACCAAGGGUUCCUGUCCAACGUUAAUCGGGGCAGGGUGAGUCGACCCCUAAGGCGAGGCCGAAAGGCGUAGUCGAUGGGAAACAGGUUAAUAUUCCUGUACUUGGUGUUACUGCGAAGGGGGGACGGAGAAGGCUAUGUUGGCCGGGCGACGGUUGUCCCGGUUUAAGCGUGUAGGCUGGUUUUCCAGGCAAAUCCGGAAAACCAAGGCUGAGGCGUGAUGACGAGGCACUACGGUGCUGAAGCGACAAAUGCCCUGCUUCCAGGAAAAGCCUCUAAGCAUCAGGUAACAUCAAAUCGUACCCCAAACCGACACAGGUGGUCAGGUAGAGAAUACCAAGGCGCUUGAGAGAACUCGGGUGAAGGAACUAGGCAAAAUGGUGCCGUAACUUCGGGAGAAGGCACGCUGAUAUGUAGGUGAAGCGACUUGCUCGUGGAGCUGAAAUCAGUCGAAGAUACCAGCUGGCUGCAACUGUUUAUUAAAAACACAGCACUGUGCAAACACGAAAGUGGACGUAUACGGUGUGACGCCUGCCCGGUGCCGGAAGGUUAAUUGAUGGGGUUAGCGGUAACGCGAAGCUCUUGAUCGAAGCCCCGGUAAACGGCGGCCGUAACUAUAACGGUCCUAAGGUAGCGAAAUUCCUUGUCGGGUAAGUUCCGACCUGCACGAAUGGCGUAAUGAUGGCCAGGCUGUCUCCACCCGAGACUCAGUGAAAUUGAACUCGCUGUGAAGAUGCAGUGUACCCGCGGCAAGACGGAAAGACCCCGUGAACCUUUACUAUAGCUUGACACUGAACAUUGAGCCUUGAUGUGUAGGAUAGGUGGGAGGCUUUGAAGUGUGGACGCCAGUCUGCAUGGAGCCGACCUUGAAAUACCACCCUUUAAUGUUUGAUGUUCUAACGUUGGCCCGUAAUCCGGGUUGCGGACAGUGUCUGGUGGGUAGUUUGACUGGGGCGGUCUCCUCCUAAAGAGUAACGGAGGAGCACGAAGGUUGGCUAAUCCUGGUCGGACAUCAGGAGGUUAGUGCAAUGGCAUAAGCCAGCUUGACUGCGAGCGUGACGGCGCGAGCAGGUGCGAAAGCAGGUCAUAGUGAUCCGGUGGUUCUGAAUGGAAGGGCCAUCGCUCAACGGAUAAAAGGUACUCCGGGGAUAACAGGCUGAUACCGCCCAAGAGUUCAUAUCGACGGCGGUGUUUGGCACCUCGAUGUCGGCUCAUCACAUCCUGGGGCUGAAGUAGGUCCCAAGGGUAUGGCUGUUCGCCAUUUAAAGUGGUACGCGAGCUGGGUUUAGAACGUCGUGAGACAGUUCGGUCCCUAUCUGCCGUGGGCGCUGGAGAACUGAGGGGGGCUGCUCCUAGUACGAGAGGACCGGAGUGGACGCAUCACUGGUGUUCGGGUUGUCAUGCCAAUGGCACUGCCCGGUAGCUAAAUGCGGAAGAGAUAAGUGCUGAAAGCAUCUAAGCACGAAACUUGCCCCGAGAUGAGUUCUCCCUGAGACUUAGAGUCUCCUGAAGGAACGUUGAAGACGACGACGUUGAUAGGCCGGGUGUGUAAGCGCAGCGAUGCGUUGAGCUAACCGGUACUAAUGAACCGUGAGGCUUAACCUUACAACGCCGAAG
rnacentral:rRNA from 1 species